GCCCAAGAGAUCGGGAUAACACCUGGAAACAGAUGCUAAUACCGGAUAACAACAGAUGAUGCCUAUCAACUGUUUAAAAGAUGGUUCUGCUAUCACUCUUGGAUGGACCUGCGGUGCAUUAGCUAGUUGGUAGGGUAACGGCCUACCAAGGCGAUGAUGCAUAGCCGAGUUGAGAGACUGAUCGGCCACAUUGGGACUGAGACACGGCCAAAACUCCUACGGGAGGCAGCAGCA
rnacentral:rRNA from 1 species